rnacentral:rRNA from 1 species
ACACUCCUGCGGGAGGCAGCAGUGGGGAAUUUUGGACAAUGGGCGAAAGCCUGAUCCAGCAAUGCCGCGUGUGUGAAGAAGGCCUUCGGGUUGUAAAGCACUUUUGUCCGGAAAGAAAUCCUUGGCUCUAAUACAGUCGGGGGAUGACGGUACCGGAAGAAUAAGCACCGGCUAACUACGUGCCAGCAGCCGCGGUAAUACGUAGGGUGCGAGCGUUAAUCGGAAUUACUGGGCGUAAAGCGUGCGCAGGCGGUUUGCUAAGACCGAUGUGAAAUCCCCGGGCUCAACCUGGGAACUGCAUUGGUGACUGGCAGGCUAGAGUAUGGCAGAGGGGGGUAGAAUUCCACGUGUAGCAGUGAAAUGCGUAGAGAUGUGGAGGAAUACCGAUGGCGAAGGCAGCCCCCUAGGCCAAUACUGACGCUCAUGCACGAAAGCGUGGGGAGCAAACAGGAUUAGAAACCCGUGUAGUCC